AUACGGAGGGUGCAAGCGUUAUUCGGAAUCACUGGGCGUAAAGGACGCGUAGGCGGGUUGGCAAGUCAGAUGUGAAAUCCUACAGCUUAACUGUAGAACUGCAUUUGAAACUGCUAACCUAGAGUAUGGGAGGGGGAGAUGGAAUUAGUGGUGUAGGGGUAAAAUCCGUAGAUAUCACUAGUAAUACCGAAAGCGAAGGCGAUCUCCUGGAACAUAACUGACGCUAAGGCGUGAAAGCGUGGGGAGCAAACAGGAUUAGAUACCCUAGUAGUCC
rnacentral:rRNA from 1 species